AGCGAACGCUGGCGGCAGGCCUAACACAUGCAAGUCGAACGAACUCUUCGGAGUUAGUGGCGGACGGGUGAGUAACACGUGGGAACGUGCCUUUAGGUUCGGAAUAACUCAGGGAAACUUGUGCAAAUACCGAAUGCGCCCUUCGGGGGAAAGAUUUAUCGCCUUUAGAGCGGCCCGCGUCUGAUUAGCUAGUUGGUGAGGUAAAGGCUCGCCAAGGCGACGAUCAGUAGCUGGUCUGAGAGGAUGAUCAGCCACAUUGGGACUGAGACACGGCCCAAACUCCUACGGGAGGCAGCAGUGGGGAAUCUUGCGCAAUGGGCGAAAGCCUGACGCAGCCAUGCCGCGUGAAUGAUGAAGGUCUUAGGAUUGUAAAAUUCUUUCACCGGGGACGAUAAUGACGGUACCCGGAGAAGAAGCCCCGGCUAACUUCGUGCCAGCCGCCGCGGUAA
rnacentral:rRNA from 1 species